rnacentral:rRNA from 1 species
AUGCACGCUGGCGGCGUGCCUAAUCCAUGCAAGUCGAGCGAACGGACGAGAAGCUUGCUUCUCUGAUGUUAGCGGCGGACGGGUGAGUAACACGUGGAUAACCUACCUAUAAGGCUGGGAUAACUUCGGGAAACCGGAGCUAAUACCGGAUAAUAUUUUGAACCGCAUGGUUCAAAAGUGAAAGACGGUCUUGCUGUCACUUAUAGAUGGAUCCGCGCUGCAUUAGCUAGUUGGUAAGGUAACGGCUUACCAAGGCAACGAUGCAUAGCCGACCUGAGAGGGUGAUCGGCCACACUGGAACUGAGACACGGUCCAGACUCCUACGGGAGGCAGCAGUAGGGAAUCUUCCGCAAUGGGCGAAAGCCUGACGGAGCAACGCCGCGUGAGUGAUGAAGGUCUUCGGAUCGUAAAACUCUGUUAUUAGGGAAGAACAUAUGUGUAAGUAACUGUGCACAUCUUGACGGUACCUAAUCAGAAAGCCACGGCUAACUACGUG